UACGUAGGUGGCAAGCGUUGUCCGGAUUUACUGGGCGUAAAGGGCGUGCAGGCGGUUUGUUAAGUGCAGGGUGAAAGCUCCCGGCUCAACUGGGAGAGGUCCUUGCAUACUGGCAAACUCGAGGGAGGCAGAGGAAAGUGGAAUUCCUGGUGUAGCGGUGAAAUGCGCAGAUAUCAGGAGGAACACCAAUUGCGAAGGCAGCUCGCUGGGACGUUACUGACGCUGAGACGCGAAAGCGUGGGGAGCAAACAGG
rnacentral:rRNA from 1 species